GAUGAACGCUGGCGGCGUGCCUAAUACAUGCAAGUCGAGCGAACAGAUGAGGAGCUUGCUCCUCUGACGUUAGCGGCGGACGGGUGAGUAACACGUGGAUAACCUACCUAUAAGACUGGGAUAACUUCGGGAAACCGGAGCUAAUACCGGAUAAUAUAUUGAACCGCAUGGUUCAAUAGUGAAAGACGGUUUUGCUGUCACUUAUAGAUGGAUCCGCGCCGCAUUAGCUAGUUGGUAAGGUAACGGCUUACCAAGGCAACGAUGCGUAGCCGACCUGAGAGGGGGAGCGGCCAGCCGGGAACGGAGACACGGUCCAGACUCCUACGGGAGGCAGCAGGAGGGAAUCUUCCGCAAUGGGCGAAAGCCUGACGGAGCAACGCAGCGGGAGACAUAAAGGUGUUCUGAUCGUAAAACUCUGGUAUUAGGGAAGAAAAAAGGUGGAAGUAACUAUGCCCGUCGUGACGGUACCGAAUUAGAAAGCCACGGCUAACUACGUG
rnacentral:rRNA from 1 species